rnacentral:snRNA from 1 species
AACUUUAAAUAGGUAGGA